GCCAGCAUAGCACAGUGGUAGUGCAAUCGCCUUGUAAGCGAUAGGUCGUCAGUUCAAAUCUGACUGCUGGCUCCA
rnacentral:tRNA from 1 species